rnacentral:rRNA from 1 species
GACGAACGCUGGCGGCGUGCUUAACACAUGCAAGUCGAACGCUGAAGCUCAGCUUUUGUUGGGUGGAUGAGUGGCGAACGGGUGAGUAACACGUGAGUAACCUGCCCCCUUCUUUGGGAUAACGCCCGGAAACGGGUGCUAAUACUGGAUAUUCACUGGUCUUCGCAUGGGGGUUGGUGGAAAGGGUUUUUCUGGUGGGGGAUGGGCUCGCGGCCUAUCAGCUUGUUGGUGGGGUGAUGGCCUACCAAGGCUUUGACGGGUAGCCGGCCUGAGAGGGUGACCGGUCACAUUGGGACUGAGAUACGGCCCAGACUCCUACGGGAGGCAGCAGUGGGGAAGAUUGCACGAUGGGCGCAAGCCUGAUGCAGCGACGCCGCGUGAGGGAUGGAGGCCUUCGGGUUGUGAACCUCUUUCGCUCAUGGUCAAGCCGCAACAAUGGUUGUGGUGAGGGUAGUGGGUAAAGAAGCGCCGGCUAACUACGUG